rnacentral:rRNA from 1 species
CCUACGGGAGGCAGCAGUGGGGGAUAUUGCACAAUGGGGGGAACCCUGAUGCAGCGACGCCGCGUGGGUGAAGAAGCGCCUCGGCGCGUAAAGCCCUGUCAGCAGGGAAGAAAAUGACGGUACCUGAAGAAGAAGCCCCGGCUAACUACGUGCCAGCAGCCGCGGUAAUACGUAGGGGGCAAGCGUUAUCCGGAUUUACUGGGUGUAAAGGGGGCGCAGACGGCGAUGCAAGCCAGGAGUGAAAGCCCGGGGGCCAACCCCGGGACUGCUCUUGGAACUGCGUGGCUGGAGUGCAGGAGGGGCAGGCGGAAUUCCUGGUGUAGCGGUGAAAUGCGUAGAUAUCAGGAGGAACACCGGUGGCGAAGGCGGCCUGCUGGACUGCAACUGACGUUGAGGCCCGAAAGCGUGGGGAGCAAACAGGAUUAGAUACCCUGGUAGUC